rfam:Schistosoma rodhaini strain Burundi genome assembly, scaffold: SROB_scaffold0004872
AUCCAUUCGACGAGUCCUAAAUAGGGCGAAACGCGUGUCUUGGAU